UUGUUGUAUGAAAGGAGAGAAGGUUAGCACUCCCCUUGACAAGGAUGGAAUUGGCCCUGGUGGCCAUCAACACACAUAUGGUUAAGGCACUUCGUGGCAUCUAUAACCAGAUCUUUUU